GGUUGGAUAGCUCAGUCGGAGAGCAUGAGAUUCUUAAUCUCAGAGCAAUGGGUUCAAGCCCCACAUUGGGCA